rnacentral:lncRNA from 1 species
AAGGGAUCCUUCGGCCUGAACCUCCCAAAGUGCUGAGAUUACAGACACAUCAUGGGGCCCAACAAGCGAGGGGGAUGGUUUUGAGUAGGGAACAGCAUUUGCUCCAUUUCCACUCAAGUGACACUUUCCCCUGUCUGUAACAUCUUUAAGUAUUUCUUGCCUGCUGUCCUGCCUCUUCCUGACACCUGCCUGGUUUCCUCUUGUUCCUUUCCUAGCAAACUCAACUGCAGGAGCAAUUUAACUAUACUUCCUGUCUCCACUUCUUCAACUCCUGAGCACUCAACUCUUCUGAAAUUCGGCUUUUGCCUCGGCCACUCACUCCUCCUAUCUCCUUAUCUUAGCUCACCAUCUCAGUUUAGAUCUCUCUGCUGAAUUUCACACUUUGCCCCAACCCUUCCUUCUUCCUUCAAAACUCUGUCCUGGGCCUCUUUGCAGCACAGGAUCCCUUGAUUAUCAGGACCUCACACUCUGAAUUCUACUUCUCCAUCCUUGCCCACUUCUCCUCAGUUUCCUUCAAUUGCUCUUCUCCCCAACCUCCCUCUAAAGUGUUGAGGUUUUCCAGGGCUCCUCCCUUGACUGUCUUUAGUAAUCAUUUUAUACAAUUUCCCAGGCUUCAACUACCAGCUAAUCUACACCCGUGACCCCCAAAUUUACAAAUUCAACCCAAAUACUUUUCUUAAACUCAUACCCAUAGUGGACUUUCACUACUAUUUUCAGACAGCUUAAGUUCAAUAUCUACAGAACUGACUCUAUCUACACUGUACACACACACAUACACCCUCCUUCAUCCUGCCACUCAGAGAAGGUACCACUCUCCAUCUGGUUGCCAAAGGCUGAUGCUGGUAGUCAACCUUGACUCCUCACUGUCUCUCACCCCCAAUAAUCAAUUACAAUUCCAGCUAAUGUCACCUCCCCACUGUUCCCUUCUCUCCAUUCUCAUGCCACUGCCCUGCUUCAGGCAAUCACCAGCUUCCAUCUGGAUUAUGGCACCAGCCCCCUGAUUGCUUCUGGUCUUCCCCUUUCCAAUCCCUUCUCCCAAUAUCACCCCAAUAAUUUUUUAAAAUGCAGAUCUGAUCAUUUGAUUCCAGGGGGCUUAAAAAUAUUUGAAUAGCUCUGCAGAGCCUAGAGAAAUGGGCCGAACUCCCUAGAGUACAUGGGACUCUUCACAGUCUUGACCCCUAAGUCAUGAACACUAUUUAUAUAAACUGUAAGUGUUGUGUAGAUUAGAUUGAGGAGGGGACAAAUGGUGACUGGGAUAUUAGUUAAGAGACUAUUCUAAAAUACUAUUUUAAAAUCUCUGCCAUCAGAUUUGCAGAUUUCAUAAGCUCAUAUUGCCCCAAAGCCUUGAAUAUUCAUAGCACCCAAUGAAUAUUUACUGGUUUGAAAUUGAAGUGCAUUCCUUUCCUCUGGGUUUUAACUUUUCCAACUACUCCACAUGGUAGACAGAGUCAUAUAUCCAACAGGGCACAGACCUUAGCCAGCUCACUUAAUUUCCACAAAUAAUGUACUCCAUGCCUUUAUCUUAGAAUUUGGAGGUGAAAACAAAUGUGCCAAGUAAUUGGAAGGAAGGGGUGGAUGAAAGAGGCAUUGUGAAUGAUUGAUAAUCCUGGCUAUUAUUAAAACCUGAGUGCCUAUGACAAGCACUGUGAACUCUGUCCCAGGGGAAUGUGGCCAAGUUCUUGGAUUUGGAAAUAGUAAAAGACAUGAUAGUUUCAGUUUAGUGGGUGAGAGAAGCAGCUUGUGCCAGUGAUUAUGCACUGGAGGCGGGGGUGGGCGGUGAGGGUGAGGGCACGGGAAGAGAGAAAGGGAACAUAUAAUGUGCAUAAGAAAACACAAAUCCUGCCAGGCGCAGUGGCUCACACCUGUAAUCACAGCACUUUGGGAGGCCGAGGUGGAUGACCUGAGGUCAGGAGUUCAAGAUCAGCCUGGUCAACAUGGCGAAACCCCAUCUCUACUAAAAAAUACAAAAAAAUAGCCGGGCACAGUUGCUCACACCUGUAAUCCCAGCACUUUGGGAGGCUGAGGCAGGCAGAUCACUUGAGGCCAGGAGUUCGAGACCAGCCUGGCCAACAUAGUGAAUCCCUGUAUCUACUAAAUAUACAAGAGUUAGCUGGGUGUAGUGGCACACACCUGUAGUCCUAGCUACUGGGGAGGCUGAGGUAGAGAAUUGCUUGAACCUGUGGCAGAGGUUGCAGUGAGCUGAGAUUGCACCACUACACUCCAGCCUGGGCAACAGAGUGAGACUUUGUCCCAAAAAAAAAAAAAAAAAAAAAUGAGCUGGGUGUAAUGGCGCACACCUGUAAUCCCAGCUACUUGGGAGGCUGAGGUGAGAGAAUCGCUUGAACCCAGGAGGCGGAGGUUGCAGUGAGCCAAGAUGGCACCACUGUACUCCAGCCUGGGUGACAGAGUGAGACUCCAUGUCAAAAAAAAAAAAAAGAGAGAGAGAGAGAAAAGAGAAAAGAAAACACAAAUCCAUCCAAUAAAACAGAAAUUGAGGAGGCUCAAUUUCAAAAUACAAAGAAAGUAUCAUUUCCCUUUCACAUUUUAACAGCAUUAGAAUCCUAACUUGAAAGGGCUAAGGUUAGAGUUCAGAAAAUAGGGAGGAUUCUCACUCUUAGGAACUGACAAUAAGUGAGGCAAUAGGAAAAGGAACUGGCAUUUAGAAGAGAAAGUCAUUUCUGGAGAUGCGUCUGUGAGAUUUUCUAGUAGAUGGAAGGGAGACAGAACUAACAUCAUGGAGCUUCUACUACUCUAAGCCAGCAGUACAAAAAGAAAAGAAAAGAAGCUAUAGCAAAAGCUCCACUAACUGACCUGUGGAAAGAGAGUCACAAGCAUGGGCGAAGUAUCUCCCUUAGGGAGAACAAGAAUUUGUUCUCUGUCUUGUGUCUCACCAACAAAAUCCAGCAUCUGAUAGACAAAGAGUCACAGUGCAUAAAAGAAAUGUCCGCCUGAGUGCCGUAAUCACCAUGUCAUCCCGUCCUCCUCUGGCCAUCAGCCUAGGCAGCUGGAAAGGUGACUUCCUGACCAGAAUGAAAGAAUCCUAGCAGCCACGAGGAGCUGAGCCUUGUGGGGUAUCUCAGGACCAGGCAUGGGUGACAGUGAUGCUGGCUUCUGACAGGGAAGAUCACCCUAGCCAGCAAUGGAACUAACUGGGUCGUGGGACCAGGAAGCAUCCCUCUUUCCUUGUCUGUGAUUAGUGGUUCACAUUGGAUCUCACAGCCUCCUUGGGAGGCAGACAGUGCCUCUAGCAUCAUCUCCAAAUUACAGAUAUGGAAACAGCUAGGCUUAAAUAAAGAAAUUCAAACUCAGAUUCAGGGCACAGCGCCAAUGCUUCCUCCACUGUGCCAUGUUGAUCCAUAAAGUUGAAAGCCUCUGGCUAGGGACCAUAACUGCAAACAGGAGAAAAAGAAGGAAGCUAGAAAGAAAAGGAAUCACCCUGGACUCACACCGC